GCACCCACCACUUCCUUCCCGAUCCCCAUCCUCCCCGUCCCGAUCCAGCACCGUCCCCCUGCCCCCACCCCAACCAACGCCCGCACCUCCCGCCGCCGGCCACCCGGCCCCGGUCCGCCGCCCCCCGACCACGACGCGCCGGCCACUCCAACCAGCGCGUCCUGCCGUCGGCCACCCCGUCCCGAUCCAGCGCCGUCCCCCUGCCCCCACCCCAACCGACGCCCGCAUCUCCCGCCGCCGGCCACCCCAACCCAGCCCGUCCCGCCGUCGGCCAACCCGGCCCCGUCGCCGCAACCGCCCCCCCCCCCCCCCCCCCCCCCCCCCCGACCCGCCGGAUGUCGCAACCCGCCAGAUCCGACGGAUGCUCACGCGUGGGGGAGCGGUGCUGCUCCGGCGAGCUCACGCGUGGGGGAGCGGUGCUGCUCCGGCGAGCUCCUUCCCCCUCGAGCACGGCGCGUCGUCGACAGCCUCCAUCCUCUUCUUCCCUCUUCCAUCAGCCGAGCACAACUCCGUUUCACAGGUCCUUCAGAAAAUGGGAAAAGUGGGUUUUCUUCCAUGUUUAUCUACAAAAUGUUUCAAUGCCUCUGUUUAUAGGAGGCACGGAGAUGUUUCCUGGACGGAUGUGCAAUCUGGUUUAAAUGGGCGAUGGCACAAAAUUAGGCUCUUAGGAGUCGGAAUGGCGCUCUUAGAUGCCCAUUUGAUUUCAGUGGAGCUGGUGCUUGUGUGUUCAGAUGAAGACAUGAAUUGUGUGAGGGAUUAGAAAAGAAAAUUGUGGCAGAGAUAAUGCCAUAGGCGUGGGUAAGUCGUGAUGUGAGGAGAUGCAUACACAUGUGUAUACAUUCCAAUUCUACACUCAUAUGUACUCCUACUUUUUUUUGAGACAAAAAUGUGCUCCUGCUAAGACAGAGAAACUACAUGUAUUUCUGUAUUUAUGCUUAUCAAAUCACUGAAAAAACCAGCCCUAUUGAGUGC